rnacentral:rRNA from 1 species
UACGGUAGGGUGCGAGCGUUAAUCGGAAUUACUGGGCGUAAAGCGUGCGCAGGCGGUUUUGUAAGCCAGAUGUGAAAGCCCCGGGCUUAACCUGGGAAUGGCAUUUGGGACUGCAAGGCUGGAGUUUGGCAGAGGAGACUGGAAUUCCUGGUGUAGCAGUGAAAUGCGUAGAUAUCAGGAGGAAUACCGAUGGCGAAGGCAGGUCUCUGGGCUAUAACUGAC